rnacentral:lncRNA from 1 species
UUGGGGUCCAGCUCGCCCCGCGCCUCGUCCAGGUGCAACAGCACGUUCUCCACCGUCUGCGCGGCGCCUUCCACGUCCGCACCCUUGGGGUUGCCCGAGUGGCGCGCCAUACCCGCCUGCUUGAGGUUGGCGGACACGCGGCCCAGGUUGGCCGAGGCGCGGCCCAGGUUGGUGGCCUGGUCGUGCUUGAUGGCGGCGUUGACCUUGGCCUGCGCCUCCUCCACCUUGGCGGCCAGCAGCUUGCCCUCCACCAGGCCCACCGAGCCGCGGGCAAGGGGGUCGUGCCUGUCGUCCACCUUGUUGGCGUCACGUUUGUUGAUGGCCAUCUGCAGGAUAGCAACAAAUAAGGAAAGGGAAGGGAAGAUUAGAGGCGGAGUCCCGCUCGGUGCGGCGUGAAGGAUACGGGUGUGCGGCAGCCCCACCAAUUGCUGUUUAUUACGGGGAGAUGAAAUUGCGCGCGCAGCCCAAAAGCACACUGCCGUUUUUGUUGUCCCUCCAGACCCAGUUG